ACUCUAAAAAACGUUGGGUUGUUUUGUGUACCCAAUAGCUGGGUAAAAAAUAUUGGGUCGUUCUGUUGGGUUAUUCAGAACAUUUAUUGGGUUGUUUCUAUAAUAACCAGCACGUUGGGUUAAAGUUCAAAUUUCAACGGUUGCACCGCAGCUGACAGAAGAUACACGGGUGAGUUAUUACACUAUAUAGCCAUACUGUAAACGUUUUUUUUUUCGUUGUACGUCUUGCAAAGUAUUAUUUGCGCUUUUUCCUAAAUCUUCAGCCAAUUAUUUCCAUGUGUAUAUCUCCUGUUGACUGCUUUUUGUCCGCUAUAAAGCAGCCAGCCAAUGUCUUACUGUAAUACUCGGUUGUGCUUCCUAACUUUCUAUGUUCUCUCCAAUACUUUUUGGUAAAGUUAUAUUUUCAGAUAUUAACCAACGCGUUCGGCUUUAAGACCCAGUUGAAGCCCGGUCCAUCCAUCCAAUUUCCAAAUAUUAACCGACGCGCUCGGCUUCAAGACCCAGCUGUUCAUCCAUCCAGUGUCGCAGUCACUGACAGAAAGAAGGAUGCUAUGGAUUCAUAUGUAAGGGAAACACUUCAGAAGUGGAACAUUGAAACAUUAAUCGACAGAUUUGCAGACACUCUUGGAUCCUGCAAGCUAUCCUUCCUCCAUUGCCAUUCAAAAAGGGCUACAAGAUGGUUCGGCCCUCUUACCAGGAGGCAAAACAACCAUUUGUUGAUUUACAGCUUGUAGGUUGGAACAAACAAUAUUUGGAGGAGGAGGAGCAACGGAGGCAAUUCCCUCAUGUCCUGCAGCUUGGAGAUAAAUUCAACUGCUCACAAGCCUUCGUCAUUGUGGGAGGAGCGGCACGAGAGCAAGACAGCCUUUUACAAGCUGUGGAUACAUGCUUUAAAAUAUUUUAUGCUUUAGACAUAGACUAUCCAAAGCCUCUGUUUGGCAGUUUCUACAACACACAAUAAAUUCUGUGCCAUUCUGUCCAUCAACUUACUGUCGCUUACUCAGGCAGUUUAUAAUUGGAUAAGCUGGACAAGCUUUGGUUUGUUUUGUGUAUUUGUUUUCCAUGUUUCUAGAACUUAAAACAUAUAUGUAAAUAAAUUCAUUUUAGCAUUAAUACUCUGUGCCUGAGGUGUUCCCUCAACACUGUCGCCUUAUGAGGCAGUUUAUAAUUGCAUUACUAUUAUGUAUUUAUUUGUUUAUUUAUUGAAAGAAUUUCUUACCUUAAGGAAGUAAAUUAAAGCAAUUGCAAACAAUAACUCAAGCAAUAACUGAAAAAAUGUUACAAUAAAAAAAAACAAUAAAUGAAAAUGUUUACAACAAUUUGUGAAUGCAAUGUCUAAUUGAAUGUAAAUAAAGCAUUGUUAAUAUACUUAAGUUGUGAGUUAUUUAUUUAUAUGUCAAUAAUAGUACCGGUAAUUAUAAUAAUAUAGGUUGAUUAAAUCAUUUU